CCCAUGCCCUGCCCAGUGUGAUUUGUCUAGGUUGGUGGUUCUGAUCUGUUACUAACCCAAACUGACUCCCGAGGGAGCACUUGGGUUGUGCCUCCAGAGGUCAUUUCCUUGCCAAACAUUCCUUUUCAGUGAGAGGACAUUUUUCAUCCCCUGGUAAACAAUCCCCAGCCCGCACAAAGCCGAGAAGGAUGCCUGUCCCCCUUCACGCUCUCCUCUUAGUCCUGAGCUGAUUCCAACCCUAGAGGCGUCAGUCUGCUCUAUAAAUUCCUUUGUGAAACCUGAGAGCCUCGGCUCCCAAGGAGAGCAGAGACCUUGGAGGGGUUACAGUUUCCCUCCACCCAGCAAGAUCUGCUUGCGUUGGCAGCAGAAGAGUAUGUCUUUCCAAACAGGCUCUUCCAUUUCUUUGUGAAUUCAGUUCAGAAAGCACUGCCAGGCUUCUUCCAAGUGGGAGAGAGCCUUUUGGAGAAUCAACUUUGCUGUCAGCAUGCGAUGCUUGUCAUUAAUGCUUACUUCUACCUUUGGAGCCUUGGAAAGAAGAAGCCUUUAAUCCCUGACACUGUACUUUAAGAAGAUGAAAGCAGAUACCACAAACUUGCUCAAAAUAUCUCAGUACUUUUGGCUUUUUGAAUACAGGUGAUGCCAUUCUUGGUUGGUGGGGGAGGGGAUACAACCUUGAACAUUGUUUGCUUCACUUUUAUGACCUCCCUCUGGCACUUUUGAGUGUGUAACUGAACCAUGGCUUGGCCCUGAGGAUACUUGGAUUCCUAGUCAGGCAAAGUCAGCUACUUUCCGAGCCAAGGAAGGUGAGUAGCAGCUGGGCCUGGGAAGGCUAUUCAGGGGGAUGGCAAAAUGAGCAAUUACAAGUGCAACAGCGGAACAAGGUGUCUUCCACAUCAGAAUCUGGUUCAAGGCCUUAGAGUCCUUCCUUUUAGUAUAACGAUGGGUGUUCUAAAGACAAGGAGUGUUAAUAACAGUAACAUUUUAUGUGCUACAAAAUGCCUUUGAUUGUAGUAAAUAAAAGUGACCAUUUUGAAAAAUAGCCUAUACAUACAGAGAUAAAAGAGUGGUUAAAUAGGCAAAAAUAUACCCACACGGAAAAUAAAUCCAUGAAGUUGUUUAAAAUAAUGAGAUAGGUUUGUUUAUGCUGGUAGAAGACAAUCCUUAAGACAUAUUAUUGAGUGAAAAAAAAAAUCAAGUAACAAAUCAACAGUAAGAUUGCAAUUAAGCAACGUUCUGUGUUAUUUUAGUUAACAAUAACAAAUUUAUAUGUUAUUUAUAUAGUUAAGAAAAUAUAAUGAAAAAAAUAAAAUGUCUGAGUAGGAGUACUUUAAAAUUUGGAAAAAGGAAAUUGUCCUGGGGGCUGAGACAUGACACAUGAACACGGAUGACAUCUGGCCACAUCUUUCAAACCUUGAGUGAUAGCAAUAAAGCUUUAGGCUCUGCUCCUCUGCCCCUCAGUUUCUCCAGCUGUAAAAAGGGUUAUAAUUCUGGUCCCACUGAAAUGCAUAAAUCCUGCAAGGAUGGAAGGAAAGGCUCAUGACGUCACUCUGGCAGCUCAGGGACCAUUUCCCUACUCAUUCUGGCCAUAGAUUGUUGCCACCAGUAAUGCCUACGUGCUCAAUAAUUGUAGAAGAAGCUUAGAGCUUUGUUGUCUUAAUUCAUCUUUAUGAGAAAAGGUUAUGUCUAAUUUGAGGCUGUGAUAAAGUCAAAUAUACAAAUUUCAGAAUUAAGUGAACUUUGAUAGGAAGGAAACUCCUUAAAAACAAGUGACAGAGAACUCUCCUCUAGUUGAGUAGUUUUGUUCUCAAUUUCGAUGAAUAAGACUUAUUAGAAAAUAUAAUUUUUUAUUAUGCGCUGUUAGAGAACUAAAUAUAUCUAGGGUCUUUCUCUGAAAAGCAAAUCCUUUCGUGUUUUAU